rnacentral:rRNA from 1 species
GGUGCGUCUCCUUAUGUCAAAACGACUCUCGGCAACGGAUAUCUCGGCUCUCGCAUCGAUGAAGAACGUAGCGAAAUGCGAUACUUGGUGUGAAUUGCAGAAUCCCGUGAACCAUCGAGUCUUUGAACGCAAGUUGCGCCCGAAGCCUUCGGGCCGAGGGCACGCCUGCCUGGGCGUCA